rnacentral:tRNA from 1 species
UCCGGAAUUGUGUAAUGGUUAGCAUUUCUGCCUCUCAUUGGCUGUUGUACUAACAGUCAAGUGUUCGCAGGAGAUCGGGGUUCAAUUCCCCGUUCCGGAA